GAAGGAAAACUGCCGCUACUUACUUCCAGCUUCGCGGGAGGCGCCCGUGACCUUGGACCCCGGGCACCACAGCGCCCCCUGCCGGCGGGCCCCCGCCAGUGGCGAUAUAAGCCAAGCAUCACCCCGCACGUUGAGCGAACGCUCGGCGGCGCCAUGAAGCUGCUGGGCCCGUCCGCGCUCAUCGCGAUGCUGGUCCUCCUCCUCGGCCUCCACACGGCGCAGGCCGGAUGGGGGAGGCGGCGGAGGGCUGAGAAGAAACCUGGCUAUUGUCCAGAGUUUUUUCUUGAUUGCCCUUUCCACCUUUUACCUCUGUGCCGUCGCGACGGAGGCUGCAGGGGGGACGAGAAGUGUUGCUUCUACAACUGCAGGCAGCAGUGUACGGAGCCGUGGUUCACCUUGGAUUGAGGUAAAAGCCCUUCUUCACCAGACCUGAGAAGACCCCUCUGGCAGGCUCAGACUUGGAUAACCGAUCCCCAGUUCCUCCAUGCUCUCCCCACUGCCCACGCUUUCUUAUAGCAAAAGUUAAAUGCUUUUUGACAUGAGAACCACACAAAGAAAUAAAGGGUUAUAUAUUUAAAACUACCUGAAAAU